GACGAACGCUGGCGGCGUGCUUAACACAUGCAAGUCGAACGGAAAGGCCCUGCUUUUGUGGGGUGCUCGAGUGGCGAACGGGUGAGUAACACGUGAGUAACCUGCCCUUGACUUUGGGAUAACUUCAGGAAACUGGGGCUAAUACCGGAUAGGAGCUCCUGCUGCAUGUGGGGGGUUGGAAAGUUUCGGCGGUUGGGGAUGGACUCGCGGCUUAUCAGCUUGUUGGUGGGGUAGUGGCUUACCAAGGCUUUGACGGGUAGCCGGCCUGAGAGGGUGACCGGCCACAUUGAGACUGAGAUACGGCACAGACUCCUACGGGAGGCAGCAGUGGGGAAUAUUGCACAAUGGGCGGAAGCCUGAUGCAGCAACGCCGCGUGCGGGAUGACGGCCUUCGGGUUGUAAACCGCUUUCGCCUGUGACGAAGCGUGAGUGACGGUAAUGGGUAAAGAAGCACCGGCUAACUACGUG
rnacentral:rRNA from 1 species